rnacentral:rRNA from 1 species
AGGUCGUUGUUAGCUGUGGCAGGUGCUUUCAGACCUAUCACCGGUCUGGACGGUAUGGCCGGGGCACCACAAACCGACAGGUAACGGGGAAUUCAAACGGUGCAGGGUUCGAUUCCGGAGAGGGAGCCUGAGAAACCGGCUACCACAUCUGAGGAAGGCAGCACGCGCGCAAAUUACCCAAUCCUGACACAGGGAGGAUAGUGACAAGAACCAUAACAAUACGGGGCUUAAUGUCUUGUAAUUGGAAUGAUGGGAAUUUAAACCUCUUCCAACAGAGUAUCAAUUGGAGGGCAAGUCUGGUGCCAGCAGCCGCGGUAAUUCCACCGCCCUCCAAUAGCGUAUAUUAAAAUUGUUGCAGUUAAAAAGCUCGUAGUCACCGGCUGUCCCUGCCAUUGCUUUUGCCUCCUUUACGAGUCUCACGGUGCUUUGCAUUGUGGCUUAUCAGGCUGUGCGCUUCGGACUUUGUUUUACAACGCGGCAUCGACCCAAGCAUCGUCGCUAGCGACGGAUCGGCGUGGCUGCGUGCUGUA